rnacentral:other from 1 species
GUUUGCCUGCCCUGUUGGUGAUAAGGUGAAUAUGUUGAUCCGGCAAAUUAGAUCUUUUGGGAGCCUUAGUAAAGCACCGGUGUGCACGCCCUCCGGCCUGACCGCGGGGAAGCCUGAAGGUUCUUUCAGGGCACCCACCUAUACUCUAGGCGGAUCUAAUAUCGCCUUACACGGCAGGGUGGGCUUUUU